rnacentral:lncRNA from 1 species
CCAUUUUGAGUCAUCCCUGAACUGUGAAACUCUUAAUUUCACCUUAAAAUUCCUAUUUGAACUAGUUCGAGGCUUAAUCGACUUAAUGAUACCAUUAGGGGCAAUAUCGUCUUUUAACGAUUUCUCAAACUUCCUAAAUAUACAAACAUUCUAUCGAGCAUGUGAAUGAUAUUAUAAUUAUUUUACAAAGCAGGGUUUGACAA